UUCCCACCCCACCCAGCCUUCCAAUCCCGGCCAAAGAGGAAAGGGAUGAAGUGUGCAAAGGAUGCAGGGGCUGGGCAGCAGGCGCUGACCUUCAUGACCAGCGUGAUGAUCUCUGGAGAAACUACCACCCACCACAGUUAGUAGGAAGAUUUCUGUAUCCCCAGAGACCUCUCAGGCCCAUGUGUCGACACGGCAUGGCUAAGUUUUUGGCAGCAGGGACUGUGGAUGAGAGGGGAACACACAGAAGAAAGUUCUCCAGGACCAAGGCUGAGCCGUCCCCAUCAGGGCCCACCAUCCUGUCCCAUCUUGCCUGGCGCAUGUGUCUGGUGUGACCAGUUCCUCCAU